rnacentral:lncRNA from 1 species
CAAGAUGAAAAGAGUUAGACUGCUUUUCACACGGUCAUGGGUGUUGUUCGAAUUGGGCUGUUACAAGUAUUUCCCUGUAAAAUGAAAAUGAUGUGUUGCAUUUGUUUUCUCUUUUGUCCCAGAUUUGAUCAGGCGUGCUGGUGUUCUUUGCAAAUGUGUCGUGAGUCACAAGGAACCCUGGGCUGACAGAGCACGGAAAAGAGUUCUUUAGAAAUUACCGAAUCUGUUUUGGAAAAAUGGAUUUUAUAGAUUAUAUAAAAUGUGUAAUAAAAAUUAAUAUUCCAGUAGUUUUUGAAGGGAAGUGUCUCUGAAUCUUUGCCCCAGAAAGAAAAAACACUUCUGCAAAGCUGCAUCACUGCAGAACGUAACAUGGAACAGAUCAGCGUACAGAGGCAGCAUACCUGUAAAAGUGAUAUCUUGGUUGCAAUGCUCUUUGUCACUCAAGGUCUUUUCAUUGUCUAAAGUCUGCCAAGAUGGUGGGGCUGAGAGAAGAACUGAAGAUGUAUUUGAUCAGAAAAAUUCUGAACAUUUCAGAGCUUACAAAGCAAAUGCAAUGAUUUUCUUGGCUCCAUCCUCCAAACUGUUUCCCAUGGGAAAACUUCAGCACCCUCAACUAACUGCAGGAGCAGUAAGUGUAUGUACAUGCACAAAACCUUUACCUGUGAGCAACUUAGCAGAAUGCACUCUUCACCUGAAUGCAGGGCUCAGUACAGCUUUGCAAAGCAGAGCAGUGCAGAACAGGGGGAGAGGACAUGAAACAUUUUUAUUUGUGCACAUCUAACUGAGACUUUUAUUUAUUUUUGUAUGUAUGCCAGGAACAGGAGAAGGAAGCCUGUUCUUACAUGCUAUGUACAGUUUUCUUCUGCAAUAUUACUUCUAUAUGCAGCUGCUAUACAAGAAAAUUUGCCAAAGAACAGCGUUAAAGCUUUUCCAAAUCUUCUUUUCAAAUGUAUGUAAAAUCUACAUUGCUAUACACAUCGGUUUAUAAUACCACUGUGUACACUGGUGACUGAAUAAAAUACUGUUUUCUUGGUGGUGAUAGUGUAUA